CGAGCUUCCCCGUCAAGCCACAGCUAUCUCUGACAUUGCUGGCAAGAUGUUGGCAGUUCAGU
rnacentral:pre_miRNA from 1 species